rnacentral:lncRNA from 1 species
UAUUGACUAAAACGUGUAAAAUGAUAUGCAUAUAUAGUUGUUUGAGCAAAACGUGAAGUUAAAAUAGAUUGAGUUGUCAUGGAGCGUAAAAUCUAGUCUGUAAAUGUAAAAGGGAGUAUAAAUCAUCCAUUGACUAUGUAAAUUUUACUUUGUAGACGAAUGGGAAUGCUACUUUGGUUUUAGAAGAAUUUAUAUAGUCGAAAUUAUUGGUUCCUACGAAGUUUCCUUACCCACGUGUUUUGAAUUUAAUUGACGUAUCGAGUUAGAUUUGAAAAGUCCUAGGAUUUAAUAAGUUUGUAUCGUUUUAAAUAACUUUGUAUAUAAAUAAUUUUGAAGUUUAUAGAUUCUUGAGAAAAAGUUGAUCCCUAGAAAAGAAAUUUGGUGCAUGAACUUAGCGAUUAUUGAAAGCGUCUUUUAAUAAAAUGUUUUACGUGUGCAAAAAUGGUUGGUUGAUUCCUGAUUGAA